UCCAAUAUUGCAAAGGUAAUGCGUGCCAUUUCCACUCUUCUCUCUUCUGUUCCUCAUUCUGAUUGCAAUGGAGAUUAAUUAAUUACAUCUUUGAUCUCUUCUGUUCCUCAUUCUGAUUGCAAUGGAGAUUAAUUAAUUACAUCUUUGAUCUGGUUUAGUGUUUUAGAACCGAUUUGAUCGCAGUUUGUAGAUUUAGUGGGAACCUCACCUCACUCUUUGAUUGUUCAACUGUCUCUGCUCCAAAUCUGCAGCCCAUCUACUCCAAAUGUCUGCUGAGCAUCUUCUUCAGUUAGCCAAAAUCAAUCGCUUGGUCUAGUUCCAGUUUGUGCUUACUAUCCAAUACUAAUUUCUAAGAGGCUACAUCUCAAGCAGGUACACAUUUCCCUGCCACCAAUUUCUGCAGGCCCGUCUGCCUAUGUGAAGCACACUAACUUCUUUUCAUGAUGUGCCUCUAAAUAACGUUAAUAUGGUCACUAUUUUUCCUUAUUGACAAUGUGGGAUUUCAUCUGUCGGCCUCCUUUGAACAACACUAAGUAUUUAACUCAGAGUAUUAAUUCUUAAAUCUGAUACAUUUGGUCCGUGUGGCAUCUGAAAAUUGGCAAUCAAAGAUGGACAUAAUUAUCUUAACAUGAGCAUCCUUUUAUUUUUUGUUCUUUCAAUUUUGUUUGCUAAGUGGAGCAAUGUUUAAUGGUACUAUGGUCUUCCCUAAUUUCAAAACAUGUAUGGGAAAAUGUGGUUUCCUUUGGUGAAAGGAUGUUAUGUGUUCAUACAACGACCUCACACAAGAUUAAAUUUGUAGUUAUUUUCAUGAAAAUACACAAUUUUAACGAUGCAUACAUAAUAGGAUGGACUGCGAUUACAUGAAUAUUUUCUUAGGUGAAAGGAUGAAGUACCAUUUGGUACUAUUUUCGAUGUAGGUGUCUUACCUAAAUUGAAAAAAUUAUCCGUGUGCAAAAAUAGCUGCAUAACCAUAUUAUUUGGUACAUAUAGUGUAUAUAUGCAGUCUUACUUCCUAUACCAUUUCCUAAAAAACACUAAGAUAUUCAGAGCCAACUAAAAAAGUUCGACUUGUAAAUGUGACCAAAUUUAGUUCAAAUUUUCUCUUGAAAAAUCGAAAUAAUAUUCUAUCAUGAUAAAACUUUAAUAUAUUUCCUGCAUAUAGUAACUUUGUAAAAUUCUAGCCCGUGCUUGUGUGGGAUCUUAAGGUGCAGUGUUAAUUUGUUUUUGCCCCCUCCACUUUUUUCCGGGCUUGGGACCGGCAUUGGCAGUGUUAGGCCCCCCCUACCCCUAUUAAUAGUGAAUCAACUUAAGCGCAUGUGAUUGGAUGUAAUUUUAAUAUUUGUUGGAGAAUAAUUAAUAUGUAAAUAUGAAAACAGGUCUGAAAUAAAGUUGUGAAGAAGCCAUCGUAAUAUCGUUUGUCGGGACCUACUUCAGGUACAAACUUUCAUCUGACGAAAGAGUUUUUUUUUUGAAAAAUCCGAUGAUAGAAUUGUGAUACAUGGAAUAGUCUUUAUUUAAUCAUUUUUAUUUUUUGUUGUUUAGAAAAACAUGAAUAUUUAUUUAUCUUGAAAGGUGUUUUUUUUAAUUUUUGAGAACUUCUUUAGAUAAUUUUAAGUAUUUUUUCAAAAUAUAAUCAUUUUUAUGGAAGUGAUAUUUUACACUAAAUCAUAUUUCUUUUGUAGUAUUUGUUUUUUGCACUGUUUGGGCUUGGCCCAAGCAGAAGAGCUUGAUCUACACACACAAACAACAUUGUUACUCCUCAAAAGAAAAAAAAGACAACACGCACUGGAACUCUCUAUAGUACGUACGAACUUAUCUCCCUUCCCGUUCUCCCUUCCUACGGCUGGUCGUCGUUGCCGCCGNNNNNNNNNNNNNNNNNNNNNNNNNNNNNNNNNNNNNNNNNNNNNNNNNNNNNNNNNNNNNNNNNNNNNNNNNNNNNNNNNNNNNNNNNNNNNNNNNNNNNNNNNNNNNNNNNNNNNNNNNNNNNNNNNNNNNNNNNNNNNNNNNNNNNNNNNNNNNNNNNNNNNNNNNNNNNNNNNNNNNNNNNNNNNNNNNNNNNNNNNNNNNNNNNNNNNNNNNNNNNNNNNNNNNNNNNNNNNNNNNNNNNNNNNNNNNNNNNNNNNNNNNNNNNNNNNNNNNNNNNNNNNNNNNNNNNNNNNNNNNNNNNNNNNNNNNNNNNNNNNNNNNNNNNNNNNNNNNNNNNNNNNNNNNNNNNNNNNNNNNNNNNNNNNNNNNNNNNNNNNNNNNNNNNGUACCAGUGGUACCUUGCGCUUCUUGAUAUUCCUCCCUGUUCCCUCCGGCAGGCUCCAACUGGGGGGGGGGGGUGAGGGGGUUGGGUUGGGGUGGGGCAAGCAGCCGCCGUCCGGUGUCCUUGCCUCUUGCCUUCUCAUUGAACCCAACUCCUUCUCCCACAGGCUCCAACCAUGGUCAGUUGUGGCAGUAGUAGUUACCAGAUUCAGAUUUAUAGCUAGCUUUUCAAACUUUUUGAUCAGUGACUAUACUAUGUGUAUGGCACACAUGGUAGGACGUAGUCAUUAUGUGUAGCUGAGUGUGAUGCGUGAGCAGUUGUCACGCCCUCGAUGCGGCUAUAUCUCCCACGUGUCGAAGCACGACUUAGAGGCAUAACCGCAUUGAAAGCAAUGUCGCAAGUGAGGUAAUCUUCACACAACCCAUGUAAUACAUAAGGGAAAGAGAUAUAUAGUUGGCUUACGAUCGCCACUUCACACAUAUUACAUGAAUAAAGCAUUACAUCAACCAGAUAUAAUCAAGGUCCGACUAUGGAACCCAAAAUAAAAGAAGAACACCAAAUGCGACAAAGGUCCCCGAUCGACCCCAACUGGGCUCCGCUACUGAUCAACUAGAACGAAACGACACAAAGGACAAGAUCUUCAUCGAGCUCCUCCUGAGCUUGGUUGCGUCAUCUGCACGGACUUAUCGGCACCUGCAAGCUGGUUUUGGAAGUAUCUGUGAGCCACAGGGACUCAGCAAUCUCGCACCCUCACGAUCAAGAAUAUUUAAGCUUAUGGGUAAGGUAAAAGGUAUGAGGUGGAGCUGCAGCAAGCGACUAGCAUAUAUGGUGGCUAACAUACGCAAAUGAGAGCGAGAAGAGAAGGCAAAGCACGAUCGAGAAAGUAUGAUCAAGAAGUGAUCCUAAACAACCUACGUCAAGCAUAACUCCAACACCGUGUUCACUGCCCGGACUCCGCCGGAAAGAGACCAUCACGGUUACACACGCGGUUGAUGCAUUUUAAUUAAGGUCAACUUCAGGUUUUCUACAACCGGACGUUAACAAAUUCCCAUCUGCCCAUAACCGCGGGCACGGCUUUCGAAAGUUCAAAUCCCUGUAGGGGUGUCCCAACUUAGCCCAUGACAAGCUCUCACGGUCAACGAAGGAAUAGACCUCCUCCCGAGACAUUCCGAUCAGACUCGGUAUCCCGGUACAACAAGAUAUCCUCGACAAUGGUAAAACAAGACCAGCAAGACCGCCCGAUGCGCCGACAUCCUGAUAAGAGCUGCACAUAUCUCAUUCUCAGGGCAACACCAGAUGAGCGCUCCGUACAACUAAAACCAGCCAUCAAGUUUCCCCGAGGUGGCGCUGCAAAGGACUCUAGUUCGGACCAACACUUAGACAAGCACUGGCCCGGGUGGGGGUUUAAAAUAAAGAUGACCCUCGGGAUGCGCGACUCCCAAGGGAAAAAGGCUAGGUGGCAAAUGGUAAAACCAAGGUUGGGCCUUGCUGGAGAAGUUUUAUUCAAAGCGAACUGUCAAGGGGUUCCCAUUAUAACCCAACCGCGUAAGGAACGCAAAAUCCGGGAACAUAACACCGAUAUGACGGAAACUAGGGCGGCAAGAGUGGAACAAAACACCAGGCAUAAGGCCGAGCCUUCCAUCCUUUACCAAGUAUAUAGAUGCAUUAAUUAAAUAAGAUAUAAUGUGAUAUCCCGACAAGUAAACAUGUUCCAACAAGGAACAACAUCUCCAUGUUCCAACAAGGAACAAACUUCGAUCUUCACCUGCAACUAACAACGCUAUAAGAGGGGCUGAGCAAAGCGGUAACACAGCCAAUCAACGAUUUGCUAGGACAAGGUGGGUUAGAGGCUUGGUUUAACAAUAUGGGAGGCAUGAUAAGCAAGUGGUAGGUAUUGCAGCAUAGGCAUAGCAAAAGAGCGAGCAACUAAGCAAGCAAAGAUAGAAGUGAUUUCGAGGGUAUGAUCAUCUUGCCUGAAAUCCCACAAGGAAGAAGAACGAGUCCAUGAAGAAGACAAACGAACGUAGACGAACAGGUCCUCACAAACACGAUGUUACCGGAAUCAACCCGAAGAAGCAAACACCGAAAAGAAGCACACAACAUAGUAAACAACCAACACAUGAACAUGGUAUGAUAUGCGGGAUGCGGUAUGCGAUGCAUAUGCAUGAUUUGCAAAGGAAUGAAUGAACCUGGCCUCAACUUGGAAAAUCAAGUGUGCCACUGGAAAGAUGAGAUGAAAUCGCUUGAAAAUGAUAUAAAGAACGCCGGAAUCGGAGUUACGGUUUGGAAAUGGCAAGCAAUUCAAAUAUGAUACCGGUCCGCGAUUACAGCAAGUAGCCAACUAAAUGCAACAAGAUGAACAUGCUACAACACUCAAAUAUGACAACAAAAUACAUGGCAGGAAUCCACUCAAGAUGCUUAACAAAAGUCUACUACUGAGCUACGGCCAAUUCAUCCAAUAACAGGUUCAAACAAGCAUGGCAAAAAUGCAUAUGGUAAACAGAUCUCAGACUUAGUGAAAUUAACACUUGUCUGGAAUUUUAGAUCAGAUAACACUUUCCGGAGCAACAAAACUAUAUGCUACAGGACCUGAACAUGGCAAAGUAAAGCAUGGCAUGGAGCUACUCAAAGCGCUUAACAAAAGUCCCUUAGUGACCUUAAGCCAAAAGGGAUCAGAAAAUAUAAUUGCAAGCAUGUGAACAUGGCAAAAACAUAAACAGAUCACAGACUUAGUGAAAACUGGAGCAUGCUGAAACAGAUAUCAAGUAGACAUGUUUACGAGCUCGAUGCACUCACUACGGAGCAAGUCAUGACAAGCUAAGCAUACACCCAUCAAGAAUACACAAAAUGCAAGCUAGACAUGGCAAGAACAAUAGCAUAGCAUGCACGGAUCAACUACAACAUCCUCGGCAAAAUUGCUAACAAGUAGACAAUCUGCCCAGAUUCACGAAGUAGCAAAAGUAGAGUUCGAUUGACUCAAGCUAGGGUGCUCCAUAAUUGCAAACAAAGACAUGGAUGGAUAAAGCACUACAAUAUUAACAAAACAUCCUUACUGAUCAUCCUCAAAAGAGGCACGGAUCACUAGGAAACAACAUGAACAUAUGGCAACAUGAGAUAAACAGAUCAAGGACUUAGUGGAAAUGCUAAGUAUCUGAAAUCAGCAUUACCAAGUGCCUCACUUGGCAAGCUUGUGCUAGUCACCACACACAUCACAAAAAUACAUGGGUUGCACCUCUGGAUAGAUGGCAAAACCCUUAACAAAACAUAUGUAGAGCUCAUGGGCAUAUCAUGCACACAAUAAUCAUGGCAAAAAUGACAAAUAGCUAAAUGGAGCAGCAGAUCUGACAAUUAUCUCAAGUAGCACUCUUCUAACAGCAUUUUGGGCAUCAAGAUGAACUCUAAUGAAAAUGAUGCAAUGAGAUGAAAUGAUGUGCUCUCUGAGACGAACAUUUUGAUAUGCUAUAUGCCCAAAACGGAGCUACGGAUGCAAAGUUACGAUGCGAUGAACAUGGGCAUAUGAAACUGGGAAUCUCGAGGACUUAGCGAAAUUAUACCUCCGGAGAAAGUCAAACCGGGACAGGACGGUGCAGGACAGAGGGAUCCGGGGACGCGGGACACCGUUUGGAUCGGGGGACGGCGCCGUUCAGGGUCGGGACGAUGCAGAUCUGGAGGUCGAGGUCAACUCCGGCGAUCGCCGGAACGGCAGAUCCGACCGUGAGGCGCCGGGGCCGGCCGCGGUGGAGGUCGGGGAAGCACCUGGCGGCGGCGGGCGGCGCUUGCGCCGGCGAUGAGGAGCGUGACGGCCUCCGGUGAGGUGCAGGGAUGAUGGGGAGGCGAGGCGCGGUGGUCCGGCGAGCUGCUGCGCCAGCGACCAGUCGGGCGAGGGGCGGCGGAGCUCUGCGGCAAGGAGGCGCGGGACCUGGGCGGCGGUGCUGGCGCGAUGGGCUUCGGGGGCCGGCUGCGGGUUCCCGGGCCGGCGAAGUGGGCACGGGCGGCGGCCAACAGGAGGCGGACACGUGGCGGCGGACGGCAGAGCGGACAUGUCCGUCGGCGGGAUAAAUGUUCGGCGCGCGAGGAGAGGGAGGGGGCUAGGGUUAGACCGCGAAUUUCGAAGAGGAUCACAUAUUUAUAGGUAGAGGGAGCUAGGAGAGUCCAAAUGAGGUGCGGUUUUCGGCCACGCGAUCGUGAUCGAACGACCGAGAGGAUGGAAGGGGUUUAGGUGGGUUUUGGGCCACUUUGGAGGGGUGUUGGGCUGCAACACACACGAGGCCUUCUCGGUCCCUCGGUUAACAGUUGAAGUAUCAAACGAAGUCCAAAUGACACAAACCUUGACAGGCGGUCUACCGGUGGUAAACCAAGACCGCUUGACAAGUCUCGGUCCAAUCCGGAAAUGUUUAAUCCCCACACAUGAAAGAAAGGUAGAAAUGAUCACGGGAGGAGAUAGGAGCGCCGGAAUGCAAAACGAACAACGGAGAAAAUGCUCGGAUGCAUGAGACGAACACGUAUGCAAAUGAAAUGCACAUGAUGACAUGAUAUGCAAUGCACGACACGCAAGCAAUGACAAGGCAACAACAGCGAAUAACUGGAGGACACCUGGCACAUCGGUCACGGGGCGUUACAGCAGCCUAGCUAAUCGACGUAUGGCCAUUAGCAUUCUGAUCGAAGACCAUUCAUCUGCUUGUCUACUUGUUUUGUUAAUCUAUAGUAGUGAAAUUGAUAUGUAUUAUACGUCGCUGCCGUGUUGUGUCGCUUUGUCGUUCUCAGAGCAGAAGGUGAGUAAUAAUAGAGCUACCUACGGCCGCUCCGCCGAGUCCGCCGCCCCUGCCGCCGCAUCAAUGGAAUCUUGCGAGGCUCCCUCUUCCUUUCUAAAAUGUGCAUACAUAUAGUUUUCUGGUUGGUUUGUUUAUCUUUUGCUAUGAAAUUAUAUGCAUUUUUACAAAAUUGGUCAUAUAUAUUUCAGGUUUUGGGGGAGGUAGAGAAUGUGAUGUUUGGCGAAAUCAGGGCAGCAGCAACCGUUCCAAGGUGAGAAAUAUGUUCUUAUUUUGACUUGUAAGUCUCUUUCUGCCCUUAGUUACACAUUUUGGUGCUAAAUUUGUAUAUACACAUAAAAUUACUUUUGUAGCAGAAUCAUGAAUGGGUUAGUUGACAUAAUAAAAAUAACCAUGAAUGAUUUAGUGGUUCAUGACAUUAUACAUGAGAAUUAUACCAUGAAUGAUUUGUAUAUACACAAAUGAGGUAGUCUCCUUCAAGAUAAUCAAGUUCUGAAUUCUAGCUUGGAAGUUAUCACUUGGCUGCAAUGUUUCUGUAGAACACAAGCAAUAAAUUUAAGGUUAGAAAAUAAGCAAUGCAAUGUGAAAUAUAAAUACUUGAGUUUUUCUUAAACAAUGAUCUUAUCAAGUAGAAACUGAAAUUUUGAACAAGAAAUUGAAAGGUUGCAUACCUAUUUGGUUAGGACUUCCGUGUAAACAAUAUUUUUCGUACAUGUUCCACUUGUACUGAUCUUCUUAUUCUUAUUUUUCUUCUUCCCAUUUGUGUAUGUGUCGCCUGUACUGGUAUCUUUAUUCUUCUGCUUGUUCACAUCAUGCGUACCUGUUAGUACUUUUAUAUUUGAUGUCACGGUUGCUCUAGAAAGCGCGACAUAUAGUUGACCAUGUGAGAAAACCGGUUCAGGCAGGUAGAUACCAACAUUUGGUAUUGUCUGACCUUGUGAUUUAUUUAUUGUCAUUGCAAAAUUGAGCCUGACUGGAAAUUGUUUUCUCUUGAAACUGAACGGGAACAUGUCAUCGUCAGAGGGGCAUAAUGGUAUCCGAGGCAGGAAAACUCGCAUUCCGGAGUGCUGUCCCACAACAAUCUCUGCAUCAAUUGUAUUUUUUUUGAAAUCCACGUACGACCAAUCUCGUGCCGUUGCAAAGUCCAUUGGCAGGGUCGAUGUUCCUAAGUAGUAUGAUUGGACAAUUUAUUUUGAGCUUCAGCAUAUGUGGAGGUAGUCCAUUUGGGGUUAGGGUGUUUAGGGAUUCUGGUGGAUAGUAGUUAUGUGGGUCGUCUUCUACAGAAUCAAAGCUGUGGUACACCAUCUCCUCCCCCUGGAAGCGAUCAAUCAUUUUUAGGUUGAUCUUGUCUACACAAUCGUUCCUUGUGGAUAAAAUUGCUCUUGACGUGAUGUACUUUGGAUCUUUUAGGGAAGCAUUUCCCGUUUGAUAGAUACUGUCAAUGAGUCUAUCCCGGCCAUUAUCAUCUGUCUUAUUUGACACACAUAUACUUGUAGGUACAAGUAUUUCACUAUCAUCAUUUGUCUCCUCGGUUCCGUUUCCAAUGCGUAGUAGGUAUUCUGCGAACCAUGGGUCGUUUUGAGCCCUCAUGUUGCGCACAAGCUUCAGUUGACACAUGCAACUCCAAAGCUCCGACCUGCGUAGUGAUGCAUCUACUAUCUGAGCUCUUGUUCCUUUUCGGACAACAGGGAGCACUUGUCUAAAAUCUCCCCCAAAUACGAUUGUUUUUCCACCAAAUGGAAGAUCUGGUCUAUCCAUUAUGUCCCGCAUGAUUUUGUCUAACGCCUCCACUGUUUGCCUCUUGGUCAUAGAUGCUUCAUCCCAGAUUAUUAGUGAUGCUGCUUGGAGUAGCUUUGCUGUCCCACUCUGUUUUGUAAAGCUACAAAUAGCUCCAUCAUCUAUUUUUAGUGGAAUCUUGAACCUCGAGUGUGCGGUCCUCCCUCCAGGCAUUAUGGAAGCAGCAACACUGGAAGUGGCUGUCGCCACAACAAUCUUGCCUUGUCCGCGUAUUGUGGCCAAGAGCGCCCUAUAAAGAAAAGUUUUUCCUGUGCCUCCCGGCCCAUCGACAAAGAAUAUACCUCCUCUUUGGUGGUCAACUGUGGCUAAGAUUUUGUCGUAGGCCUUCCUCUGCUCGUUGUUUAGGUUUUCAUGCAACGAUACGUCCUCAGGGUCCACCUCGAUGGAGGUCUCCUCAAUGAUCUCCCUAGGUAUGUCGUCUGUCAUCUCAUGUUGUUUGUCGAUCUCUGGAAGAGGAAACGAUUCAAUGUCUUUUCCCAUUGAGUGCAACAUGUCCCUAAUAUUUUUCAGAACCAUCUGUUCGAUCGUGUGCUUGCAUUUGCAGUUUCUGUUGUAGUCUUCUGACAUUGCCUCAAGGUGUUUGUUCCAGAGGCCACGUACGUCGCUAGGCUCACAAAAAACCAAGAUUGUCGCGAAUAGCCUUCGUAGCGAUGAUGGCAUUCGAAAUAACUCUGCUUCUGUCAUGCAGUCAUCUAGUGUGUUGUCUGCCUCAAUGAGCCCCCGUCUUUCUGCGGCUUCACGGAAGGUUGGCAUUACUUGUCCAUCGACUGUUCGUAGGUCUUCGUAGCUGGUGGCGCCUGUCACAUGAUUUAGGAGAACUCGAAGAUAGUAUCGUUCUCCUUCAGCUGGGUGUGCUGAGACGAUCCUGCCUAUCUGGAUCACAGCGGCUCGUUUCCUCUCUUGCCAAAACUUCCCUCGUCUUUGCCAAGUAUAAUAUUCCGGAAAGUCUCUGUAUAGUAUGCCUCGUGCUUUCUCAUGUAAGUUGUUUGCUUCAAAGUACGCAGUCAACAUUGAUCUUUCCGUGCCAUCACGGUCGAUAAUAUUCUUUAUUUUUCCAUGCCAUGGUAUGAAACCAUGUGCAUAUUUGGGAGAUGUAGCUGCAGUUGCAAGACUGGUGGGUGCAUUUUGCUUAGUUCGAAGCCAUAUAUUCUCCAUAGUGCUUCCGGAGGUGUCACCCACCGUGCGUCUCUGUACUGUUUAAUCUCGCCGACUUCGACUUCAUCUACUUUGUCAGUUACAGAUACAGAUGCCCGGUCAUGACCCUUGUAGAUGUACUUGAAGAGGUACUUAACGGCUUUAAUGCUUGAGCAUAUCUCAACAUUUAUGUGGCAGUUGAACAUCCUUAGCAGGUAGGGGUUGUAAGGAACCACCCACCUAUUAUCUAGUUUGCAACCUCGGACCAUUUCAGUACGACCGUCAUUGCGUCUCCUAUAUAGUGGGUAGGAGUCCUUGCCUUGAAUCAUAGUUUCGUUAAAUGGCCUUGGUUAAUUGUUCUUGCAUGACUGACGAUUCUUUGUGCAUGGACAAAAUUUAUUCAAUGCACCGCAAGGACCAUGCAUCAUAUGUUUGACUACCAUUUUGUAUAGUUCUGGGUACUUGUGCUUGUUAGGGAGCUCAGCGGAGAUGAUUCUGUCAUACUGUUCCGGACACGUGUAUUUGUAUUUUCCGGUCAUGAUGAGCAAAAGGUUAGCAUGGGGUAAUCCCCUCUUUUGGAACUCUAGGACAUAUGUAUAUGCCUUAACCUUUCCAAGAAUGGCCUUCUCAAAUAGUUGCUGCUUCAUUUCUUCUAGCUUAGCCCUGAAAAUUUAAUUUUGAAUACAAUUACCUGGGUCAUCGUCAUUACUGAUAUUUUCAUCAUCAACAUCUUCCUCUUGUGUAUCCUUCUUUGGGAUUUUCCUAUGCCAACCGAGUUCAGCUCUUGGAAAGAAUAGAGGAUAUGAUAACGGGUCGUAGCACCCGUAAUAUGAUCUAAUGUGCUCUAUUUCGUUGUUGUUCCCAUGAAGUAUUACAUUCCUGUCAUAAGUAUCUCUUCUUUGAUUUCCUUCAAUCCACACUGCAGCUACCUUCGAAUUGAUUGGUGCGUUGUAUGUUCUCUGGUCCAAUCUUUGGUCAACGUUCAAGAUAAGUCUGUAAUCCUCGAGGUUUUGGGCUUGUCCCAAACUCCUGAACUGUUGAGAGUAUGGGUUAUCGCGUAGAAUGUCAGUUAUGAUUCCAAUCACCUGCCUGUCUUGCUCAUACAUUUCCUCGCGGCAGCGGCGGUACCGAUGCUCUAAGCUUGGAUCAUCAUUGUAGAAGUACAACUCCAGAUGCUUUGGAUCGGAGCGACUAUUACCAAAUGAGUGUAUGUUGUGAUAGAUCUGACCAUGAGCUCGGAAGGUGUAAAUACCAGUUGUUCGAAUGUUGGUUGUCUCUCUGUCAAGCUAGCAGUAUAGAGUAGUGAAUGAGAAGUGUCCAUUGAAAAAUCUUAUAUUGUUCCGAAAAUGUCUUGCAUCAGAGUCGUUGCUUGUCCAAAGUCUCAUAAGUUCAGGUGCUGUAUCUGGAUUGGCUAGUCUUAUCUUCCCUUUUCUGCAACAUAACCCCUUAGAUUCAUACUUCAAUUUCGUUGCAUUACAGAACUUGCAAUUUUUUUCCGUUCUGAACAUGUGUGUGUUCUUUGGUAUGUUGCUGUAGACGAUAUCAUACGGAUCAGGGUUGUGAAAUUCCUCGUCUUCUCUGGUUUCAAUUUCCACUUUUCCAUCCCAUUCUGCUUUGAUUUGUAGCAAUCAGAAAUUAGUACAGGGUAAUAUAAUGAUGCAAAUAUACUUAAAACUGUAUUGAGCAUACCUUCACCAAAGAACAUGUAUUCAUCCUCGUUUGUGUCUUCUUCAAAUAUGACUAUCAUUAUCUGUGUUGUAAAAUUUUAUUGUUUAUAUAUUUCUUUGUAUUGCAUAAGAACAUAUUUGAAAUUGAUAACCUUACCGUGAUCAUCGUUGUAGAUUGAUUGUUUUGGUGCAUCUACUUCUUUGAUGGUUUUGUCUUGCUCACAUAUGCCUUCAUAGUCACACCUGUUUAGUAAUUUUUUAAUAUAUAAUUUUUGUAUUGCAUAAAAGUAAAUAUGAAAUUGAUAACCUUACCGUGACCAUUAUUGUAGAAUGAUUGUAUUCGUGCAUUUACUUCUUUGAUUGUUGGACACAUUGAAGUGGGGAUGCCUGGCCAAAAAGCCACCUUACUGUGAUCGUCGUUGUAGGCUGUUUGUGUUUGGGCAUCCGCUUCUUUAAUGGAUGGAAACAUUAUAGAGAGGGGGAUGUCUGUCCACAAAAGAUGGUUAGUUACAUAUGCGGUUUCAUAUAUUUUUGGAAUGCGAGAGUAUUGUAUAAAUUUUAGAUUUUUACCAUUAAUCGUGACUUCUGGUUGUUCGGGAGGUUCGUUGUCAUCGUUGUCAUUUUCCGACAUGGAUCUAUCUUCUUGUGAUGAUUUCAUCUGUCUUGCUGCGAAUUCUUCGUUAUGACGGUGUAGCAGCGUUUGUCUUUCACCCGCUGUCACAUGCUUUCCAUGUUUUACAGUACAGGGAGAUGUACUAACUUCCUGCUCGGUUGCAAUAUAUGCAGGGUUCUCCAUCGCAAUUGAAUCUUUACUUGGCAUGUUGCGCUUCAAUUCACGAUUAGCUUUAAUUUUUUCUAUCCUAGCUUUCUUUUGUUCCGGUUGCAUAUUUGCAUAUUCCUGCCUUUUUUUGCCUUUUGAUCUGUCUUCUUCCUUGAAUCUUUAUUUUUUUGUUUUUUUGAUAGGCUUCUCGACGUUUACUCAGUUUUUCUUCCCUUUCUUCACUGGUCAUCGCUGCAUAGCGCUCUCUAUCUCUUUUCUGUUUUUCUCCUGACAUGGCAUGUUUUCUUUGAUUUACACUAACUUCCUGUUCAGUCGUGAUAUAUGCAGGCUUCUCCAUGGCAAUUGAAUCUUUGUUUGGUGUACUGUGCUCCAGUUCACAGUUACCUGCAAUUUGUUCUAUUCCAACUUGCUUUUGUUCUGGCUCAAUUGUAUCUUUGGAUGGUAUACCACGCUCCAGUUCACAGUUAGCUGCAAUUUUCUCUGUUCCAACUUCUUUUUGUUCUGGCUGUGUAUUUGCAUAUUCCUGCAUUUGUUUUGCCUUUUGAUCUCGCUCCUUUCUUGAAUCUUUGUUUGUUUUGUUUUGUUGAUAGGCUUCACGGCGUUUUUUCAGUUUUUCUUCCCUUUCUUCAUUGCUCAUCCGUGCAUACCGCUCUCUAUCUCUUUUUCUUCUUUGUUCAUUCGCAUCCAUGGCUUGCCUGCAUCAAAGUUUGUAUAUGGUAGUUUCAUAACUGGAUGAUAUCAAUAAAAUUGUUAUUCUAACGUUUUUAUUCUUUUUUAGGUGUAAAUGGCAGGUCCUCUGCCUUUGCAUUAUAGAUUAGGGUUGUACAAGAAGGAGAACAAGCAGUAGAGAGAAGAGCAUAAGCAGGAGCAAAAGAAAACGAAGAAGCAGUCAUCCAAGGCGCUGUACAUGCAUGUUCAGCUUUGUACUACAUUCAGCGUGUUCAGCUGCAGGUCAUUGAAAAAUUCAAGUAAUUGAGUUUGCUUACUAAGAGAUGAUUACUCACCUUCCUCUUUGCUUAUUUAAAGAUCCCAGGAAGGUAAUUUGUUCGCUUGCUUAGUGUACGUAGCAGUCCCUAUCUAGAAUAAGAUGCUUUGGGCUGUGUUAUCUGCUGGAAAAAGAACCAUGAAGUGUAUGGCUGCAUAAAUUCCAUCAUGUUAGGAUUAGUUACAACCAAAUUAGAGUUAAUUCCUGCAACUUUGAAUUGGUGAUGACAAAUUUUUCGUUUAUACAUGGCAGGUAGCACAUUUUAUAAUAAUAAGGAAGUCCUAUGAAAGGAGACAAUGAUGAACACACCUGAUGGCUCGUUGUCUUUGCUGUCAGCGCUGAUGCCGGCGAGGCGACGUGUUGAUGGCUCGUUGCUUUUGGUUUCUAAGUGGCGAUAUCGACGUGGCGACGUGCAAAGCUGAGUUGCUAAGCACCUUAUUUGACCGAAGACCUGAGAUACAUUAAGGGUGCUGUACAUGUGUAUUUAUAAAUAGGAUCAGACUUGGAUCCAGAUUCCUGUAGCUAGUAGGAUUGGUCAGGCUCCUCUUAGUUUUUUUUUGACAAAACUCGUUUAUAAUCUAUAUAAAAGAUAGUGUUCCUUUUGUUUCUCGCUCAGCAGGCUAGCUAGUGGAGCUGGUUUUGCGAGCGUACUCAAACUGCACGGCCAUGGUUCGAGUCCUAUGAUGAGCGCAAUUUUUUUUCUCCAACGUAAAAACGACGGACGAAAAAAAAGAGGACGUAUGAAAAACAGCUUGAUGGACAAAUAAAAGUGAGGAAACGACCCGUCCUUUAAUAUUAGGGAGAGAAGAGAUAGAUAAUCACAAAUACACUAAUUACUUCUUUAAUUUGUUGAGGGGUCAAAAACUAAUUAACAAUUUGGCUUAAGCUGCGUUGGCAUCCAGACUUGCUACUAUCUCAUUUCAAUAGCAG
rnacentral:lncRNA from 1 species